CUUUAGGUUCUGGCUGCUUAGAACUGUAGAGCCUUCCUAUUUUCUUCUCCCAUUACAGCAAUUAUUUUCAUUCACAAAUAAGUAGUAAAGUUCUCAAGUUAUCUUGUCAUGACAUUCAACACCGAAUUCCACAGCUGCCCUGUGACAGUACUGAUAUUCUCCUUAGUCCCAGUUUUAGGAACAAAUGAGACUUGUUUAUCACACUGUGAAAGUAAAUAAACAACCCAGGAGAAAAGCAUAUGUAUACAGGACCUUUCUUUUUUCAAGAUGACUGCUAGAGUGCCAAACCUACCCAAGAAAAUUACAGGAACCCCAAGGUGCACUGUUUUACACUGAACUUAUUCCUGGCACUAUUUUUUGCUCACUCCUACUUUCAUUUUUCCUUUCUCCUUCUCAUGUAUUUAUUAUUCCUGGCAUUAUUUUUUGCCCACUCCUACUUUCAUUUUUCCUUUCUCCCUCUUAUGUAUUUAUAAUUCACAUUAUCUUGCUCUAUGUGACAUAAAUGAAUAUAUCAAUAAUACAACUAAAAAGCAAAAAAUCAAGCACAUAAG
rnacentral:lncRNA from 10 species